rnacentral:rRNA from 1 species
UACGGGGGGUGCGAGCGUUGUCCGGAAUCACUGGGCGUAAAGGGCGCGUAGGUGGUGGCUUAAGCGUGCGGUGAAAGCUCGGGGCUCAACCCCGAGUCGGCCGUGCGAACUGGGCUCACUGGAGCAUAGUAGAGGCAGGUGGAAUUCCGGGUGUAGCGGUGGAAUGCGUAGAGAUCCGGAAGAACACCGGUGGCGAAGGCGCCCUGCUGGGCUAUGCCUAACACUGAGCCGCGACAGCUUGGGAGCAAACAGG